GGGGGGGGGGGGUCUACACCUACCUUUCUAACCUGGUGGCACCAAAGACAGUCAUUUCCAAUGCUACAGACGCCCUAGGGCACCAACUCUUCUCUUUCCAGGUAGACCUUAGCUUCCAUGCAGAAGCUAUAACUCUAAACCCAAGCCAUACUCAGGAACAGCAGCAAGAGUGUUGGUAGGAGUUGGAGAGACGGGAUUCUGAAUUUACUUUCAUGGUUAACCUGUUCCAUCUGAUUUGGGUUUGACUUCAUCAUAUUGUUCUGCCCUGUCAGCUUCACUUCUGUAUCCCAGUGAUAUAAACUUUACUCCGAAACUGAUUUCUUAAAACUUAUUAAAUGCUUCUUGAAUGUGUAUGAAGUUUACUCACCCUUUUUCAACCCUGUCUUGAGAGAUUCUCCUAGUUCAGUCUCAUGAAAUCCUAUCCUGUAGGUCCCCAUUGCCAGGAAAGGCCUCAGCUAAUUGUCAUUGUUUACUGAUGUCAUUCUGGUCUACUGAGUUCCAGAACCAGGGGCCAAAACAGUUUUGGGCUUUUUCUUACAAGCACAUUAAAGUGACUUUGCAUAAAGUUAGGUUCCAAGAAAAACGUCAAGUAACUUACUAUCACAAGAGGAGAAGUUAUUGAGUAACUUCUGCUAUCGCAGAAAUAGCAAUGUCCUUUGGCCGUUCUUCCUCCUGCCCUUAAACUUUCUUGGUCUUUACAUCCCAGAUGCCAGAUGGAGUUCUGAGUCAAUCAGAACAUGGGCUCAGUGUUCUUAUGCCCAGUGUUUACAGUGAAGUUCCAGGACUCCUUGUCAUCCUCACUUCCAUUCCAGUUCAUUCCUCUUUGUUUCUUGGAUUAUCAGUCGUAUGUUUGGAGCAUUAGUUUGAAGGUUUAAGGAAGUACUGACAGUUUCCCACAGACCCUAAGAAGGUGUGGUUUGGGGAGGUUUCUGAUUUGCAAUGUUGCCAUGCUUUGUCACCACUAGUUUUAUGGGACACACAAGUGUUCAUCUCUGAAUUGUAAGCAUGCAAAGUCUGAAUGGAAUGAGGACAUCUUUUAUGGAAUCUUUUUUUUUUUAAUGUAGAACAAUAGGAUUUAGGUUUUAUGUGGUGACAUUAGAAAUAUAAAGUAAGUUUGCAGUUGCAUUAAAAUUGCUUCUCCCAAAGCUACACAUACUGACCUGAGUACACUGAUGGGUGGGACAUGGAAUCCUAAAUUCAGUUCAGGAGUAAUCACAUAAACAUCACACUUCACAAUCUAUGUGACCCUUUCACCUGCAUUAUCUCAUUGGAUCUU